AACGGUCUAUACCUGCGGUACCUGCGGAAGGAUCAUUACAGAGUUCGUGCCCUCUGGGUAGAUCUCCCACCCACUGUUUUCCUUACGACCGUUGCUUUGGCGGGCCGCCGGCCCUGCCCGGCCGCCGGCGCCCAGCUGGCGCGCGCCCGCCAGAGGCCCUCCAGACUCUGAAUGUUAGCGUCGUCUGAGUACCACAUAAUAAGUUAAAACUUUUAGCAAUGGAUCUCUAGAUCGGAAGAG
rnacentral:misc_RNA from 1 species